rnacentral:rRNA from 1 species
AGAGUUUGAUCCUGGCUCAGGACGAACGCUGGCGGCACGCUUAACACAUGCAAGUCGAACGAGAGAAGAGGAGCUUGCUUUUCUGAUCUAGUGGCGGACGGGUGAGUAACACGUGAGCAAUCUCCCUUUCAGAGGGGGAUACCGAUUGGAAACGAUCGUUAAUACCGCAUAACAUAAUUGAACCGCAUGAUUUGAUUAUCAAAGAUUUAUCGCUGAAAGAUGAGCUCGCGUCUGAUUAGCUAGUUGGUAAGGUAACGGCUUACCAAGGCGACGAUCAGUAGCCGGACUGAGAGGUUGAUCGGCCACAUUGGGACUGAGACACGGCCCAGACUCCUACGGGAGGCAGCAGUGGGGAAUAUUGCACAAUGGAGGAAACUCUGAUGCAGCGAUGCCGCGUGAGGGAAGAAGGUUUUAGGAUUGUAAACCUCUGUCUUCAGGGACGAAAAAAGACGGUACCUGAGGAGGAAGCUCCGGCUAACUACGUGCCAGCAGCCGCGGUAAUACGUAGGGAGCGAGCGUUGUCCGGAAUUACUGGGUGUAAAGGGAGCGUAGGCGGGAUCGCAAGUCAGAUGUGAAAACUAUGGGCUUAACCCAUAAACUGCAUUUGAAACUGUGGUUCUUGAGUGAAGUAGAGGUAAGCGGAAUUCCUAGUGUAGCGGUGAAAUGCGUAGAUAUUAGGAGGAACAUCAGUGGCGAAGGCGGCUUACUGGGCUUUAACUGACGCUGAGGCUCGAAAGCGUGGGGAGCAAACAGGAUUAGAUACCCUGGUAGUCCACGCCGUAAACGAUGAUUACUAGGUGUGGGGGGACUGACCCCUUCCGUGCCGCAGCAAACGCAAUAAGUAAUCCACCUGGGGAGUACGACCGCAAGGUUGAAACUCAAAGGAAUUGACGGGGGCCCGCACAAGCAGUGGAGUAUGUGGAUUAAUUCGAAGCAACGCGAAGAACCUUACCAGGUCUUGACAUCGUAUGCAUAGCUCAGAGAUGAGUGAAAUCUCUUCGGAGACAUAUAGACAGGUGGUGCAUGGUUGUCGUCAGCUCGUGUCGUGAGAUGUUGGGUUAAGUCCCGCAACGAGCGCAACCCUUACUGUUAGUUGCUACGCAAGAGCACUCUAGCAGGACUGCCGUUGACAAAACGGAGGAAGGUGGGGAUGACGUCAAAUCAUCAUGCCCCUUAUGACCUGGGCCUCACACGUACUACAAUGGCUGUCAACAGAGGGAAGCAAAGCCGCGAGGUGGAGCGAACCCCUAAAAGCAGUCUUAGUUCGGAUUGUAGGCUGCAACCCGCCUACAUGAAGUCGGAAUUGCUAGUAAUCGCAGAUCAGCAUGCUGCGGUGAAUACGUUCCCGGGCCUUGUACACACCGCCCGUCACGCCAUGGGAGUCGGUAACACCCGAAGCCUGUAGUCUAACCGCAAGGAGGACGCAGUCGAAGGUGGGAUUGAUGACUGGGGUGAAGUCGUAACAAGGUA